rnacentral:lncRNA from 1 species
AUGGAUUUCUUUGAUAGAACAAGGAAACUGGAAGAUGAUAUAUUAAGAUUGGAUAGCAGAGCCUCAAUUUUGGAUUUGAGAGUAGAGUGUCAAGAUUUAGAAAGGUUUUCUGUGAUCAAUAGAUUUGCCAAGUUUCAUUCACGGGGACAGCAUGAUGGGGCAGAGACCUCAUCAUCCUCUGAUACUUCUCAGAGAUUUUUUCCCGUGAAACUUGUUACUGAAGUUCCAUUGCCUAGAAAUCUCCCGGACAGGAACCGCAACUGGAAGUGUAUGAGAAGAAUUGUACUAGGUUGCCUAAUCAACCCCUAG